rnacentral:rRNA from 1 species
ACGAACGCUGGCGGCGUGCUUAACACAUGCAAGUCGAACGGAAAGGCCCUGCUUUUGUGGGGUGCUCGAGUGGCGAACGGGUGAGUAACACGUGAGUAACCUGCCCUUGACUUUGGGAUAACUUCAGGAAACUGGGGCUAAUACCGGAUAGGAGCUCCUGCUGCAUGGUGGGGGUUGGAAAGUUUCGGCGGUUGGGGAUGGACUCGCGGCUUAUCAGCUUGUUGGUGGGGUAGUGGCUUACCAAGGCUUUGACGGGUAGCCGGCCUGGGAGGGGGACCGGCCACAUUGGGACUGAGAUACGGCCCAGACUCCUACGGGAGGCAGCAGUGGGGAAUAUUGCACAAUGGGCGGAAGCCUGAUGCAGCAACGCCGCGUGCGGGAUGACGGCCUUCGGGUUGUAAACCGCUUUCGCCUGUGACGAAGCGUGAGUGACGGUAAUGGGUAAAGAAGCACCGGCUAACUACGUG